rnacentral:tRNA from 1 species
GGGAAUGUAGCUCAGUGGUAGAGUGCUUGCCUACCAUGCAUGGAGCCCUGGGUUCAAUUCCUCAGUACCA